rnacentral:rRNA from 1 species
UCCUACGGGGGGCAGCAGUGGGGAAUCUUGCGCAAUGGGCGAAAGCCUGACGCAGCCAUGCCGCGUGAAUGAUGAAGGUCUUAGGAUUGUAAAAUUCUUUCACCGGGGACGAUAAUGACGGUACCCGGAGAAGAAGCCCCGGCUAACUUCGUGCCAGCAGCCGCGGUAAUACGAAGGGGGCUAGCGUUGCUCGGAAUUACUGGGCGUAAAGGGAGCGUAGGCGGACAUUUAAGUCAGGGGUGAAAUCCCAGAGCUCAACUCUGGAACUGCCUUUGAUACUGGGUGUCUUGAGUGUGAUAGAGGUAUGUGGAACUCCGAGUGUAGAGGUGAAAUUCGUAGAUAUUCGGAAGAACACCAGUGGCGAAGGCGACAUACUGGAUCAUUACUGACGCUGAGGCUCGAAAGCGUGGGGAGCAAACAGGAUUAGAUACCCCUGUAGUC